CGGGGUGAGUAACGCGUGGAUAACCUGCCUUACACUGGGGGAGUAACACUUAGAAAUAGGUGCUAAUACCGCAUAAGCGCACAGAGCCGCAUGGCUCAGUGUGAAAAACUCCGGUGGUGUAAGAUGGAUCCGCGUCUGAUUAGCUGGUUGGCGGGGUAGAAGCCCACCAAGGCGACGAUCAGUAGCCGGCCUGAGAGGGUGAACGGCCACAUUGGGACUGAGACACGGCCCAAACUCCUACGGAAGGCAGCAG
rnacentral:rRNA from 1 species